GGUCGCAUGUGGCGCAUGCGCAGCUCCUCUCCCUCGCGGAAUCUGGACGCGGUUGUCGUUGUGGGGUCUCCUGGUUCCACGGGCCCGUCUUCGCCAUGGUGAAGCUGAGCAAAGAAGCCAAACAGAGGCUGCAGCAGCUCUUCAAGGGCGGCCAGUUUGCCAUCCGUUGGGGCUUUAUUCCUCUCGUGAUUUACCUGGGAUUUACGAGGGGUGCAGAUCCUGGAAUGCCUGAGCCAUCAGUUUUAAGCCUACUUUGGGGAUAAAGGACUGUUUGGUCAUCUGGAUUUGGAAGCAAUCCAACAUGGAAGGUGUGUACUCUGGCUGGAUAAGAAAGACAUCGUUUCAACGCAUCUGUGGCAGAGUGGAGUCUGUACUGACUUAAGAUAGACUGUCAAAAUAAAUAUUUUUAACAAUGUUA